GAUCUUUUUGGAUGCCAACAAAAAGGGUUUUUGUUUUGCAUGUGGGAAUAAAUGAAAAUUAGAUUUCUACUGGUAAUUUACUUCUAAAAGGGGCGUGGAAUAUUUUCUAAUGAGAAAACAGAUGAGAGGGGCGGUAGACUUUCUUUUGGUGUGAGAGACAAAGAGGAGAGGGUCUGCUCUUAAGUGGGAGGUAUCCCUAAGGUUUUCAUGUAGGGUUUUGGGAAGAGAGAAAAGGAGUUUUCUCCAAAAGUUUUCUUCUUCCACAUAUUCUUCCUCCUGUAUUCCUUCUCUUCUCUAGAGAGUCUAAGAUAUCCAAGGA
rnacentral:lncRNA from 1 species